rnacentral:rRNA from 1 species
CCUACGGGUGGCAGCAGUGGGGAAUAUUGGACAAUGGGGGAAACCCUGAUCCAGCGACGCCGCGUGAGUGAAGAAGUAUUUCGGUACGUAAAGCUCUAUCAGCAGGAAAGAAAAUGACGGUACCUGACUAAGAAGCCCCGGCUAAAUCCGUGACAGCCGCCGCGGUUAUUCGUAGGGGGCCAGGGGUAUCCGGAGUUACUGGGUGGAAAGGGGGCGUAGACGGGCGCGGAAGUCUGGAGGGAAAUGCCGGGGGCCAACCCCGGAACUGCUCUGGAAACUGUGAAGCUGGAGUGCAGGAGAGGUAAGCGGAAUUCGUGGUGUAGCGGUGAAAUGCGUAGAUAUCAGGAGGAACACCGGCGGCGAAGGCGGCUUACUGGACUGUAACUGACGUUGAGGCUCGAAGGCGUGGGGAGCAAACAGGAUUAGAUACCCUUGUAGUC